UGUGUGCACAUGAUCAUACAAAUAUGAUGUGCAUCUAAUCAUAUUAGAUCAACAUAUAAGUUUGUUUCAGAUCUGAACCUACUUUUAUAUAGCAUAUAAAAUAAUUAAUUUAAAUUUGAAAUAAUAUAAAAAUUUAUUCUAAACAUAUGUAUGAUUGUAUAAAAAAAUUUUGAUUAGAGAUGUGAUCAACAUGUAUCGAUAUUAUAUCGAAAUC
rnacentral:lncRNA from 1 species